rnacentral:lncRNA from 1 species
AGACCGGUGUUUGUCCUAAGUCGGAACUUGAUUGGGCUGAGAAAUCACAUUGUGACUAUUCCACGACUUGAACAAGGGGUAGAAAUCGCAGGCACCGCGAAAUAGAAACUUCCUAGGACCAAGAAGCCAACGACGCCCGAAACCGUGGGGUCCUGUCACAGAAACCCCAGCAGCGCAGCCACCGGACUGGGUUCUGGAGGCCGAGCCGCAGUCCGUGCGGCGGCGCUGGGAAGAGAAGGCGCCCCGGCAGCUCCCCUGCCACCGGCCCCGAGGAGCGGCUGGCUCCCCCAGCCCAGCGCCGCCGCCGCCCGGUAACUCCAGGCGCAACUGGGCGCAACUGGGGCAGCUGCGACACCGAAUCCCUCACAUCUGCAACCUGGGUGCUGCGGCCACUGAGAAAAUGGAGGCGCAGACCAACGAGCGGUGCCGCGACCGAGAGACCUCGGCUGGCGAAAUGGUGGUGCCGGGAGCCUGCGAGUGACGCCAGCCGGCGGGGUUGUCAAGGACAACAUUCGUUUUGACGCAGCCAAUGGCGCCGUCACCAAGAAACCAUCGACUCUGAGAAAAAAGAGAGGUUCGGCCACCGAGAAACUCCGUACGACAAGUGCUGUGGCAGAAAAACCGCCUACUCCGCGCCACAGGCAAAACAGCCAAUGGAAACCCCAGGUGCUGCGACCGUGACACCGGCACUAGAGGGUCUCGGAUGGAGAAAGCGGCGCACGGAGACCAGGAAACUAUGUGUAGCACAACUAGCAGAAAACCGUCUGGUCGGCCAUCCGGGAGAAAGCGCGGAUCAGAAACAAGCGACUUCGAUGCAGGGAACCGCGCAGCCACUGAAGAAAGUGACCCACGUGGCAGUGGUGCCAGCGAAACACUGCAGUUUGGACGGCAGCUGUGGGGAUGCCACAGAGAAACAUGCACUGCCACUGAAGUACAUCCAGCUCCGCGGAGCUAGUGUUCAUAUGAUCAAGAAACCGCCAGUUGGGCUCUGCUAGAAACUUUUAGUCCUCCCUUAACGGCUAUCCUACCCACAACAGACAAUGCCUUUACCCAGCACCUAGCGGUGCUGAGACCCGCCUGGGCCAGCACAGAGCGCAGAGCAGUACGGGUACGGAGAAACGCCGGACUCAGUGAAACCAGCCUUGCCUCCAGCGGAUUCCCCGGCUUCGCCGGACGCCACAGGCAGAGUGCCGCGGGGAAACCUCUGGCUCCCUAAACCGAUUAGAUUGUGGGAGUGGGGGGGACACUCACAAGUUGUGUGGAAGGGAACCAGCGGCAAUGGGACCCGGCGAGCACUUGCCCGCAGCAAAUGCCUGCGCUGCUGCAAAAAAAACAACUUUUGGCGCAAAGAAUGUUGCGGCCAGAGAGCAUCCGCUGUCGCUGACAAAGGAGUAGCAAUGGCAAUGAGAAACCGCCGGCGCCACGGCCGACCGCGGCGGCUCACGCCUAUGAUCCUUGCAGUUUGGGAGGCCGAGGUGGGCGCAUUACUUGAGAUCAGGAGACUAGCCUGGCCAACAAGGUGAAACCCCAUCUCUACUAAAAUACAAAAGAUUAGCCGGUUGUGGUGGCAGGCACCUGUAAUCCCAGCUACUCCGGAGGCUGAGGCAGAAGAAUCGAUUGAACUCAGGAGGCAGAGGUUGCAGUGAGCCAAGAUCGCGCCACUGCACUCCAGCCUGGGAGACAGAGUGAGCUCCGUCUCAAAAAAAAGAAAGAAACCGCUGGCGCCGGGAAAGGAGCCGUGCAGCGAUGGACCCAUGGUGCGCUCCGUGCUACCAAAGUGCUGUGGCCUCUACCCACUCUCGAUUCCCAAGGCUGUUUUUCGGGCUUAGGGAAGUCUGUUAUAUUUUUAUUUCUGCUUCUUUCUUUUCUUUCUUUUAUUUCUUUCUUUCUUUUUCUUUCUUUCAUUCUUUCUUUUUCUUUUUCUUUCUUCUUUCCUUUCUUUCUCUCUUUCCUUUUUUUCUUUUUCUCUUUAUUUCUUUUUUCUUUAUUUUUUUUUUUAACAGUAUCUUGCUCUGUUGCCCAGGCUGGUGCAGUGGCGUGAUCACUGCUCAGUGCAGCCUCGCCUUCUUGGGCUCCAGCUAUCCUCCCGCCUCAGCCUGUGGAGCAGCUGGGACCACAGGUGCGCGACACCACACCCGACUAAUUUUUUGUAGUUUUUGUAGGGUCUCGUUUUGUUGCCUAGGCUGUUCUCGAACUCCUGAGCUCAAGCAGUCCGUCCGCCUGGGCGGACUAAUAUCACAAAGCGCUAGAAUCACAGGCAUGAGCCACCGUGCUGGGAGGGAAGUCUGUAUUGUUGCUGCGUUCAACCCAGUGCAUAGUGCAUGAGAAGAGGAGGCAGUUUAGGGGCCCAGAACCAAGCGGAUGGGGCUGGUUGCAGGAACAAAGUAAAAACCAUUCUGAUUGCCAACAGCUGCCUACGCAGGAAACACCCUUCCAACCUCCGUGGCGGGGCUCUCCCAGGCCACCCCUCGGUCCCAGAGUCUCCUCCCCGUCCAGAGCUCUCAGGAUCCUACAGAAGGGGCGGACAACUCUUCCCUUCCAAACUGGAAAGUCGGCCUAGGUUUCCGAGGAUAAUGAAAGGCACAGCGUUUUUUGACCUCGACUUCAGGCCUGACCCCCCACUCUCUCGGUCCCGUACCUCUUCUGCGGGAUGUAACUCUGUGGGAACCGCUCCUUUAUUCUGAUGAUUAACUGUCUGAUAUCCUUGAUAUUUGGGGAUAGUAGAUGAAAGAGAGCAGGAGAGAAAAAUGGACGGCAAGACUCCAGCUCAGAAGGUGGGAAUGAUGGCAAAAGUCCGCUACCUCUCCAAGCCCAAUAAACAUCUCAAACUGCUCUACACUUUUCUGUACCCUUGAUCUGUGAAAUGGAUCACUGACGUUUUCUGUCUUUCGGGAAAUGCAAAGCAGGCGAAUUUUCAAGCGCUUGAAUUCCCUCUUUUUCCUACUUUUCAGUCAGAGUGGAGCUAAAAACUCCUUCCCCAUAGGAAAUAUGGAACUGCCUCUGCCCGGAAGAAAAACGUCCCUUUUCCCUAAGCUUUCACAUUUCCCGAAAAAUCUACACAUCCGCAUGAAAUCCUCACAAGAGACCUACAGACCCUACCGGGAGCGUUCCUGUCACUACAAAAAAUUUAAAAAUUAGCCGGAUGCGGUCGCGGGUGCCUGUAGUCCCAGGUACCAGGGAGGCUGAGGUGGGAGGAUCUCUUGAGCCCAGGAGGUCCAGGAUGCAGUUAACGAUGAUCCUAAGACCACGAGGCAAUUGGAGGAUCCUCAAAUACCAGGGAGAAACUAGCUAGCAGACAUAGUAUGGUGGGAGGGGAAGAUCAAGGCAAAUGCCUUGGGAGUGGGUGAGAAUUGCGACUUCAUAUUGGAUCUCCUGACCUGUGAAGGCCCUUUUCUAGGCUCCUCUGGACCUGUCCUCUGCCCAGGUUCAACCAGAAAAGGAUGGAGUUUGUUGCAUGGUAUCAUCAGGGUGAGGUUGGGAGAUGAUGCGGGAACGCUCAUCCCUGGUCUUAGGAACGGGAGAACAAAGGAAAAAUGGCAUCAUUUCCACCUAAAAAGUUACAAGCACUUCACCAGAAGGAACAGCCCAGGCGGAGCCUUUGUAAAAGAAAAGCCCCACCCACUGCUUCGCACUCCUCAUUUCCACCCAGCAGAGCAUUUUAGUGACAAAGCUGAGCGGGAGCCAGAGUUCACUCCUGUAAUCCCAGCACUUUGGGAGGCCCAGGCGGGAGGAUCACUUUAACCCACGCGUUCAGGACCAUCCGAAGCACAUAGCAAGACCGUGCCACUACAAAAAAUUUAAAAAAUUAGCGGGAUGCAGUCGCGGGUGCCUGUAGUCCCAGCUACCAAGGAGGCUGACGUGGGAGGAUCUCUUGAGCCCAGGAGGUCCAGGCUGCAGUGAACGAUGAUCCUUCACGGCACCACUGCACUCCAGCCUGGGUGACAGACUGAGACUUUGUCUCAAAAAAUAAAAUGAAAUAAAAAUACAGCCGAGAUUAGGAACUCUUUAAGAAGGGGUCACCUGAGACAUUAUUAGUAUACCAUUAACAGGAGAAAAUGCUGCAAAUUAAAGUAUCAUAAUGGUAGGAGGCUACCCAUUUAAAAAUAUAUACCUGUUUCAGAGACACUAAAGUGAGAAAAAAUUUACUCUAGAAUUGAUUAAAUUCAGAUAUCCACUGCUUUAUUUUAAACCUUAAGUGCCAUUUUAGUUUAUUUACCUCUUAGAAAUAGCAUGGAGAUUGGAGUUGUAAUUUUUUAAUAUUUAUUUAUUUAUUUAUUUAGAGACAGAGUCUGGCUCUGUUGCCCAGGCUGGAGUGCAGUGGUGUGAUCUCAGCUCACUGCAGCCUCUGCCUCCCGGGUUCAAGCUAUUCUGAGGCCUCAUAUCUGGGAACCUGCCCCAAUAGUCACAUAGGUUCUUUUCUAUUUUCCCUAAGCAUCGGCCGGUUUGAGAAAUAAAGGGACAGAGUACAAAAGAGAGAAAUUCUAAAGCUGGGUGUCUAGGGGAGACCUCACAUGUCAGUAGGUUCUGUGAUGCCCCACAAGCUGUAAAACCAGCAAGUUUUUAUUAGGGACUUUCGAAAGGGGAGGGAGUGUACGAAUAGGGUGUGGGUCACAAAGAUCACAUACUUCACAAGGUAAUAGAAUAUCACAAGGCAAAUGGAGGCAGGGCGAGAUCACAGGACCACAGGACCGGGGUGAAAUUCAAAUUGCUAAUGAAGUUUUGGGCACCAUUGUCAUUGAUAACAUCUUAUCAGGAGACAGGGUUUUGAGAGCAACUGGUCUGACCAAAAUUUAUUAGGCGGGAAUUUCCCCUUCCUGAUAAGCCUGGGAGCACUAUGGGAGACUGGGGUUUAUUUCAUCCCUACAGUCUCGACCAUAGAAGACGGCCACACCCAAGGGGGGCAUCUAUAGACCCACCCUCAGGUGCGUAUUCUCUUUCCCAGGGAUGUUCCUUGCUGAGAAAAAGAAUUCAGCAAUAUUUCUUCCAUUUGCUUUUGAAAGAAGAGAAAUAUGGCUCUGUUCCGCCUGGCUUUUUCCCAGCGGUCAGAGUUUAAGGUUAUCUCUCUUGUUUCCUAAACAUUGCUGUUAUACUGUUCUUUUUUCAAGGUGCCCAGAUUUCAUACUGUUUAAACACACAUGCUCUACAAUUUGUGGAGUUAAUGCAAUUAUCACAGGGUCCUGAGGCGACAUACAUUCUCCUCGGCUUACGAGAUGACAGGAUUAAGAGAUUAAAGUAAAGACAGGCAUAGGAAAUCACAAGGGCAUUGAUUGGAGAAGAGAUAAGUGUCCUUGAAAUCUUCACAAUUUAUGUUUAGAGAUUGCAGUAAAGAUAGGCAUAAGAAAUUAUAAAAGUAUUAAUUUGGGGAACUAAUAAACGUCCAUGAAAUCUUCACAAUCCACGUUCUUCUGCCAUGGCUUCGGCCGGUCCCUCCUUUUGGGGUCCCUGACUUCCCGCUACAGCCUCAGCCUCCCAAGUAGCGGGGAUUACAGGCACCAGCCACAAUGCUCAGCAAUUUUUUUGUAUUUUUAGUAGAGAGGGGGUCUCGCCAUUUUGUCCAGUCUGGUCUUGAACUCCUGACUUCUAUAUGAUUGUAUUUGUUUUUUCACAAUGUAGUUCAAUACAUUGAAAUGGUUGGGCAAGUGGCAAAAUCAUAUUCCUCACUCCUCUGGUUUUUUAUAAGGUUCAAUUUAUCAUAAAUACUUUCCACUUCUUGCCUCAUCUUUUACUUCUCCUCACAUAUUGAGUGGUUCAUGGCACAAAAAUCAUUAUUUGUGACAGACACUGUGCCAACUGUAUUUUGUGCUUUAUCUGAUUUCAUUCUCAACUGAAAACUGCGGCAAGCACAUGCUUUGUACUGGGCUUGCUUCUCAUUUCCAUUUUGUAGAUACACACCCUCACUUAGGGAAGUAUGAGUUUGUACAGCUCUGCCUGUGGCUGAAUAGAUAAAUGUAAUUUUACCAUUCAGUGUUAAAUCAACUUUUAGUGUAAAUUUAAGGCCCAUCUUCUAACAUAGGGGUACGUGUGAUUUUACUGUGUCCCUUCUCCCUAACACUCCAGUUCAAGAUAGCAACCUAAAUUCUGAGUUGAUUAUUCUGGACACACUCCCUCAAAAUGCGACUGUAAGACACCAGAAUACACCACCCCAGUAUGCCAAUAUAUCAAUAUACCUCUGGCGUAUUGAUUAUUUCAGGCCAGGCAUGGUGGCUCACACCUGUAAUCCUAGUGCUUUGAGAGGCCAGGAGUUCAUGAGCAGCCUGGGCAUGUAGGGAGACCCAUCUCUAUAAAAAUAUUUUUAAAAGAUUAGCUGGGCAUGGUGGCAUGUGCCUGUAGUCUUAGCUGCUGGGGAGGCUAAGGCAGGAGGAUGGCUUGAGCCCAGGAGUUUGAAGUUGCAGUGAACUCUGAUUGCACCACUGCAUUCUAGCCUGGGUGACAGAGUAAGACGCUAUCUCUUAAAAAACAAAACAAAACACUCACGCCUGUAAUCCCAGCACAUUGAGAGGCCAAGGUGGGCAGAUCACUUGAGGUCAGGAGUUUGAGACCAGCCUGGCCAACAUGGUGAAACCCCGUUUCUACUAAAAAUACCAAAAUGAGCCAGGCGUGGUGGCACGCAGCUGUAAUCUCAGCUACUUGAGAGGCUGAGGUGGGAGAAUUGUUUAAACCCAGGAGGCAGAGGUUGCAGUGAGCCAAGAUCGCACCAAACCACUCCAGGCUGGGCAACAGAGCAAGACUCCAUCUCAAACAAAACAAAACGAGAUGAGAGAAAAACCUCAACCUGUACACCUCUUUAUGACAGAACAACACAGAAAGAGAAAGACAAAGAAAAGACUACUCUAGGAGGAAAUGGAUGAAACAAUAUGAUUCUUACCACAAAGUACCAGAAAGUACACCAUAGUCAAUACACCAGCACUGGUCACACAAAUCCUUUUCUCCCAUCAGUCAAAAUUUUGGACAGGAAAAAUGAACAGAGUGAUAUUUACUGUCUACUUGACCAAAUUCCACAGAGAGGGGCCUGGAAUCUGACUGGCAUCCUCAUUAUCUUUUCAAUACAGAUUGAAUUAUUGGGGAUUCAGACAGCAGAGGAAAAAAGUCAAAGCAUAUAAGGUAAGCAGAGCAGCAUAUUUUAUUGGUCUGGCUUCCCUAGGAAGCAUUAGCUAAAGUGAAAACUUAUGUGAGACUUUUUAAUUCAAAAGUAGUUUUUUUUUUUAAGAAAGUGGAAUUUAAGAGAGGGAAGUGGAACAGGAAGGGGUAAGGGGCAAUUCAAUGCUGUGCUACCUCAUUGGCCCAUGUGGGGUAUCAUGCAGGGCCACAGGCAAAUUAACCAUGCAGGUAAGGAAGCUUAGCUUUUAGGAGUCCUUCGAACAGGUCUGUAAUUUUGUACUGUAAAUUUUUAUUCUUUUUUUUUUUUUUGAGUUGGAGUCUCACUCUGUCGCCCAGGCUGGAGUGCAGUGGCAUGAUCUCGGCUCACUGCAACCUCCACCUCCCAGAUUCAAGUGAUUCUUGUGCCUCAGCCUCCCAGUAGCUGGGAUUACAGAUGCCUACCACCAUGCCCGGCUAAUUUUUGUAUUUUUAGUAGAGACAGAGUUUUGCCACAUUGGUCAGGCUGGUUUUGAACUCCUGACCUCAGGAGAUCCACCUGCCUUGGCCUCCCAAAGUGCUGGGAUUACUGGCGUGAGCCACGGCACCCGACCAUCUUUUUUAAAAAGAGAAUCCUCUACUACUUGUGUGAACAUUAGGUUCUACGAACUGAACCCACCCUGAACAUAACUGUUUGCUUGAUCACAUGGAACCAUCUUCUGGGAAGCCCUGACUAUGACUGCUUCUAAGAAUAAUCCAUUUAGAAGGAAAGAAAGGAGAAGAAUAUAUCCACUGUGGGAGAAAUAAAACAAUCCUGACCACGAAAAGGCCCCUGACUACCCAGUGGAGAGAGAGAACACUAAUUGAGUUAGCCUUAACAGAUUUACAUGCAUGUAAGGUAGCAUGACAACAACUAUAAAGCUGGGCCAUAUCUCAUGUGUUUUGAGCAGAGCCUCAGGAAUUAUGAGAACUUCUUUUACUGCUUCAAAAGAAAAGAAGGCACACUUUGUGACAGUUUCCUGUAUACUGAGAGACCCUCAGCUCAUCCUGUGAGUAAGAAUUGUCACUUCCUGACAGGACCAGGAACAUCAGGAUAUUUGGAGAAUCUUAACAAAAGGAGAAUUCAUCCAAAUCUCUAGGUAUUGCAGGCAAAGUAUGAUAGCAAGAUCCUGGUUUGGUUUCCUAGCAUCUGGACGCUUUUAAAAGUCUAAUUUGAGAUUCCUUAUGAAAAUGUCCAGGAUUAAUGUCACCAGCCAGGUUCCUAACCUAUGUGGAACACCCAGGGCCAGAAGAGUCUAAAAUUGCAAAAGCUCGUGGCUCCUGAGUCCAAGAGUUCCUGGUUUUCCUGGACACAAGCGAUAGCGCAGCACUUUCUUCCCCAUGUGCCAGAGGCCUAGGGUUCUGCAGAAGAGGCCCCAAGGCCCCAGACGCUGCAAGCCCUAAGCUCAGUAUAUUCUAGGCCCUGUCCUCUCACUUUCUAUUUCUUGUGUGGCCCCCAAACUUGUGCCAGCUAUCCUGGAACAGCCAAGAAUUCAACUGUGACCUGCUUCCUCCCUCAACCUCUUCUCCCCAACCUCCCCACCACACUUCUUCUUUGGGAAGAUUUGUAAAAAUUAAGGUUAUUAUAUCCAUGUAACUUUCUGUAUUUCUUUUAAACUCCUUGUGCUACUAAGUCACACAGGUUUGACUCCUGGAUCUAAAAAAGUCACCAACUCUGGCUAAAUCUUAAACAUUGACAGCAAUUGAAGCCUCAUCUUCAGACCUAGGAGAAGAUGAAAAUCAGAAUAAGCUGCAGUCAUAAGACAUGGGUCCAGAAAUUAAAACUAUUCAACCCCUCUAGUCCCAGGGACUAUUGCAGAAGAAGUGGGUGUGUGAGCUUGUAAGGAUCCAUUUUAAGAGAUAAAAUUAAUUCAGAGUUUCUCUAUAAAUUAAACAGUUGCAUUUGUUGUUGUUUUGAGACAGUCCAGCUAUGUCAUCUGGGCUGGAGUGCAGUGGCAUUAUCCUGGCUCACUGCAACCUCUGCCUGGCAAGAUUCCUGGCACCUCAGCCUCCCAAGUAGCAGGGACUACAGGGGUGCACCACCAUGCCUGGCUAAUUUUUGUAUUUUUAUAGAGACAAGGUUUCACCAUGUUGCCCAAGCUGGUCUCAAACUCCUGAACUCAAGAUAUCCGCCUGCCUAGGCCUUCCAAAGUGCUGAUUUUACAGCUAUGAGCCACCGUGGCCAGCCUAUAAAUUAAACAUUAAUGUCAAAGGAACACUGAUGCAAGACAAGCAUGUGGGUCCCUGUGUCAGAUUAACAAUGUUUUCUUGGAGCAUUAACACAUUCCUUACUUAAAAAUUAUGAAAGGUUAUGAGAAGGUUUACAAAAAUUAUAUCUUACACUCAAGAUUAUUAAAAUUUAAUAGAUUUGUCUGUAAAUUUAAUUGACUUCAUCCUGUCUUUAUUAGGUUUUAUUGUUUGGGAAAGUAAGUCUCAAAGAGUAAAAGUUUUUGCCUUUUUGUUUUUAAAAUAUUUGAGUUACCACUUUGACUAAAUGAAUGACUUAUUUUACAAUGACCUGUGAUGCUAUUUUGUGAUAUUGUGUUUUCAACCUUUGAUGUUUGACAAACUUUCCAAAAUCUAAAUCUAAAUUCAGGGCUUUGGUCUCACUAAUUUUUUUGACAUUACAUCCCCUGAAAUCCAAAGAGACAUAUUUGGCUUACUUGGUAUAAUAAAAUCUUCGUUAUCAAAUAUGAAAUGAUGUGUAAACUUUUUUGGCUUGUAUUUAUAUAAAUGUGUUAUUAGUAUGUGUUCCAAAAUUGUAUGAGAUUCUUGUGAUUCUGAUAUGUCUUAGAAUAUGUUAUCAGAACUAAUUAUGAUUAUUAUAUUAAAUUGUUAUGUGCCGUAGAUACAACCAAAUUUCCUUGUCAAUUGUGUCUUUAACCAUGGCUGUUCUAAUUCUUUUGUCAUCCACAAUCAUUGUUUUACUUUGAUCCUUUCUUAAGGUGGUUUAUAAUCAGUUAUAGAGCUCUGAGGACUACUCUUUCUUUUUCUUUCACUUUUAUUUUUAAUGAGAUGGGUUCUCGGUCUGUCACCCGGUCUGCAGUGGGGUGGCAUCACUGUUCACUUCAGCCUCAGUCUCCUAGGCUCAAACAAUCCUCCCACCUCAGCCUCCCAAGUAGCUGAGACUACAGGUGCACACCACACACCCAGCUAAUUUUUAAAAUUUUUGCAGAGAUGGAAUCUCCCUAUGUUACCCAGGCUGGUUUCAAACUCCUGAGUUCAAGCAAUCCUGCCACCUCAGCCUCUCAAAGUGCUGGGAUUACAGGCAUGAGCCACCACACCCGGCCUUUUAAUACAUUGUCUCUUCAUUAACAGAUAGUAAGUGUCUAUAUUGUGCUACAAAGUGAUCAAAGUUCCAGACAUAAGUGAUCAACAAGCAGAAAUGGACUUGGCCAUAAAGUGUUUGACACAAUCAGGGGCUGAAAAAAAAUAAAGCAGGAAGCAUGACAACAAAUAAAUAAGACAGUGUUUAUGUGAUAAAUGCUAUCAAGAAACCUAACGCAAGUUAGAUGGAAAGGUAACUAGGAGGAUGCUAUAUUAGCUAGUGUAGUAAAAACAGAAUUAUCAGAGAUACUUCCACUUUGAUAGGAAUAAUGCAACGAACAAAGCAAAGAAAAAAAAAAUCCGGGCCAGGUGCAGUGCUCACCUAUAAUCCUAGCACUUUGGGAGGCCAAGGUGGGCAGAUCAUUGAGGCCAGGAGUUUGACACCAGCCUGGCAAACAUGAUGAAAAUUCAUCUCUACUAAAAAUACAAAUAAAUCAGCUGGGCAUGGUGGCCCGCACCUAUAAUCCCAGCUACUCAAUGGCUGAGGUGGGAGAAUCAUUUGAAUAUGGGAAGUGGAGGUUGCAGAGAGUCAAGAUCACACCACUGCACUCCAGCCUGGGCAAGAGAGCAAGACCCUGUCUCAAAAAAAAAAAAAAAAAAAAAAAAAUCUGAAGGUGGAGUUACCAUCAUGAGAGAAUAUAAAUUACAAAGAUUCUAAGACUAGAACAACUUUAGUAUGGGCUGGGCAUAGUGGCUCACACCAGUUAUCCCAGCACUUUGGGAAGCUAAGGCAGGAGGAUCACUUGAGGCUAGAAUCCCAAAACCAGCCCAAGAAACAUGGUGAAACCCCAUCUCUACACACGCAAAAAAAGUUUUUAAUUACCUGGAUGUGGUGGUGUCCACCUGUAAUGCCAGCCACUCAGGACGCUGAGGCAAAAGGAUUGCUUGAGCCCAGGAGUUGGAGGCUGAAGUGAGCUAUUAUGGUACCACUGCAUUGUAGCCUGAGCUACAGAGUGAGAGGCCCAGUCUCUAAAAUUAAAAAAAAAAAAAAAAAAAAAAAAAAGUUGGCCAGGCGCAGUGGCUCACACCUGUAAUCCCAGCACUUUGGGAGGCCAAGGCGGGCAGAUCACAAGGUCAGGAGUUUGAGACCAGCCUGGCCAACAUGGUGAAACCCGGUCUCUACUAAAGAUACAAAAAAUUAGCCAGGCAUGGUGGCAGUCACCUGUAAUCCCAGCUACUUAGGAAGCUGAGGCAGGAGAAUCGCUUGAAACCUGAAGGCAGAGGUUGCAGUGAGCCGAGAUAGCUAUUGCAGUCCAGCCUGGGUGACAAGGCAAGACUCCAUUAAAAAAAAAAAAAAAAAAAAAAAAAAGUUUAUUACCAUCAGAGUGAACAGGCAACCUACAGAAUGGGAGAAAAUUUUUGCAAUCUACUCAUCUGACAAAGGGCUAAUAUCCAGAAUCUACAAUGAACUCCAACGAAUUUACAAGAAAAAAAAACCCCAUCAAAAAGUGGGCAAAGGAU